rnacentral:rRNA from 1 species
AGUGAACGCUGGCGGUAGGCCUAACACAUGCAAGUCGAACGGCAGCACAGUAAGAGCUUGCUCUUACGGGUGGCGAGUGGCGGACGGGUGAGGAAUACAUCGGAAUCUACUUUUUCGUGGGGGAUAACGUAGGGAAACUUACGCUAAUACCGCAUACGACCUACGGGUGAAAGCAGGGGUUCUUCGGACCUUUCGCGAUUGAAUGAGCCGAUGCCGGAUUAGCUAGUUGGCGGGGUAAAGGCCCACCAAGGCGACGAUCCGUAGCUGGUCUGAGAGGAUGAUCAGCCACACUGGAACUGAGACACGGUCCAGACUCCUACGGGAGGCAGCAGUGGGGAAUAUUGGACAAUGGGCGCAAGCCUGAUCCAGCCAUACCGCGUGGGUGAAGAAGGCCUUCGGGUUGUAAAGCCCUUUUGUUGGGAAAGAAAAGCAGCAGGUUAAUACCCCGCUGUUCUGACGGUACCCAAAGAAUAAGCACCGGCUAACUUCGUG